AGUGGCGGACGGGUGAGUAACGCGUGGGUAACCUGCCUCAUACAGGGGGAUAACAGUUAAAAAUGACUGCUAAUACCGCAUAAGACCACGGAGCCGCAUGGCUCAGUGGGAAAAACUCCGGUGGUAUGAGAUGGACCCGCGUCUGAUUAGGUAGUUGGUGGGGCAACGGCCUACCAAGCCAACGAUCAGUAGCCGACCUGAGAGGGUGACCGGCCACAUUGGGACUGAGACACGGCCCAA
rnacentral:rRNA from 1 species